UACAGGAGGUCUCAAGCGUUUGUUCGGAUUCAUUGGGCGUAAAGGGUGCGUAGGCGGCGCGGUAAGAUCCGGGGUGUCGGAAAAUCUCGGCUUAACUCCGAAACUGCAUUCGAUACUGCCGUGCUUGAGGACUGGAGAGGAGACUGGAAUUUACGGUGUAGCGGUGAAAUGCGUAGAUAGUCGUAAGGAAGACCGUGGCGA
rnacentral:rRNA from 1 species